UACGUAGGAGGCAAGCGUUGUCCGGAGUUACUGGGCGUAAAGCGUACGCAGGCGGUCCAAUGAGUCUGUAGGGACAGGGCACGGCUUAACUGUGUCAGGCUUAUGGAAACUGUUGGACUUGAGGGCUUCAGAGGAUGGGGAAUUCCGGGUGGAGUGGUGAAAUGCGUAGAGAUCCGGAAGAACACCAAAGGCGUAGGCACCAUCCUGGGAGUCACUGACGCUCAUGUACGAAAGCUAGGGAGCGAACGGG
rnacentral:rRNA from 1 species